rnacentral:lncRNA from 1 species
GCAGGGACAAGCCUGAACCCCCCAAACCUCCCUCUGAUCCUGCAGGACAUUUUGGGGGGGGGGUCCAUUGAGCACAGGAGGUGGCUUUGGGGCUCUCUGCCAUUCUUGGGGUGCUCAUGGCAUCCCUCCUGGCACACGGAGGGCACGGCGGGUCCCCUCUUCCUAUCCACCCCAAUGCUUCUGCAUCCAGCAGAGAUGGUGGGGAGCUCCACCACGGCACCAAGGUGGGCUGUGGCAGAGCCCGGCAUGGCUGGCACGGCACAGGUGAGCGUGUAGGAUGCCGUGCCGUGCCCCGAGUCGUGCCGUGCCCCGAGUCAUGCCGUGCCCCGAGCUGCGGGAUGAGUCAGGCGGGCGGCGGGGCUGCGCCGAGUCAGCAAACGCAGCAAACAAACAAGCCCAAAAAGCAACAGAGAAGCUGCUCCACGGGGUAAAAGGGCCUGGCCAGGACCAGGACCGGAGCUGGGGUGGCCGUGGGGUUGGCAGGAGGAGGUGGGAACCCCAGGAGCAUCUUCCCUUCACCCUUCCCUCUUGUUGGGAUGGCUUGGUCCACCUCUCCAAACCCAUCAGCAGGAGAAAACAAGCUGCACUAAUCACCCGGCGCUUGCCUCCUGCUCCAAACUGGUGCCCAGCACUCAGGUCCCGUGCCCUGGUGUUUGCUGCUGCAAAGUGGGCAUCACUGCGGUCCCCAAGGCGCAGGGCAGGGGCCAGGGCCACCCGUGCCACCUCGGCUGGGUGGGGGGGGGAUGCUGGUGGAGGCAUCGCUGUGCCCGUGGCUCCUUCCCUGCCCCAGAAAGGUUUUAUUGCAGGUUUUGGGAAGCAGCUGACGCAGCAGGUGCCUGGGAGGGAGCUGGGAACACACCAGCACCUCAGCAUCUCUCAAUUAGAAGCCAUUUGGUGUCACCAUCCGGCUACGGGGACAGCAGCAGGGACAGGGCUUUGGGCUCAACCCGAGGGCAGGCUGAGCUUGGGGUCUCCAGACCAAGGAUGGGGACAACUCCCUGCAGAGCCUCCGGGGCUGGUUUCUCCAGGGGACACCGUGGUAAAGGCUUCAUCCUGCACCACCUGGGGCUGGGCUCCCUCCGACGGCUGCAGGUUGGGCUUUCCCAG